CGUGUAGGCGGCCGACCAAGUCCGGUGUGAAAGCCCGGGGCUUAGCCCCGGAAGUGCAUCGGAAACUAGUCGGCUUGAGCGCGAUAGAGGAGGGCGGAAUUCCUGGUGUAGCGGUGAAGUGCGUAGAUAUCAGGAGGAACACCGGCGGCGAAGGCGGCCCUCUGGCUCGUUGCUGACGCUGAGACGCGAAAGCGUGGGGAGCAAACAGGAUUAGAUACCCUGGUAGUCCACGCUGUAAACGAUGGGUACUAGGUGUUCGGGGUGUUGACCCCCUGAGUGCCGACGCUAACGCAUUAAGUACCCCGCCUGGGGACUACGGCCGCAAGGUUAAA
rnacentral:rRNA from 1 species